rnacentral:rRNA from 1 species
AAAGAAACCAACAGGGAUUGCCCUAGUAACGGCGAGUGAAGCGGCAACAGCUCAAAUUUGAAAUCUGGCGUAAGCCCGAGUUGUAAUUUGUAGAGGAUGCUUCGGGGUAGCGGCCGGUCUAAGUUCCUUAGAACAGGACGUCAUAGAGGGUGAGAAUCCCGUACGUGACUGGCUUGCACCCUCCACGUAGCUCCUUCGACGAGUCGAGUUGUUUGGGAAUGCAGCUCUAAAUGGGAGGUAAAUUUCUUCUAAAGCUAAAUACCGGCCAGAGACCGAUAGCGCACAAGUAGAGUGAUCGAAAGAUGAAAAGCACUUUGGAAAGAGAGUUAAAAAGCACGUGAAAUUGUUGAAAGGGAAGCGCCCGCAACCAGACUUUGCGGCGGUGUUCGGCCGGUCUUCUGACCGGUUUACUCGCCGCCGUGAGGCCAUCAUCGUCUGGGACCGCUGGAUAAGACCCGAGGAAUGUAGCUCCCUUCGGGGUGUGUUAUAGCCUCGGGUGAUGCAGCGCGUCCCGGGCGAGGUCCGCGCUUCGGCAAGGAUGAUGGCGUAAUGGUUGUCGGCGGCCCGUCUUGA